UGGGAUGGGCUGGGAUGGGCUAGGAUGGGCUGCUGAUAACUGAAGCUUUGUGCUAGCAGGCAUUAUGUUCCAGUCGGCUGGCUGCGCAUAGAUUCCUGGUGUCCAAAAAUGCACCCUUCGAUGGUUGACCGAGUCUGAGGAGAAUGCUGAUGAGAUGCUGAGAAAGAUCAGACCAAUGAAGAGCAGGACCCAAAUAUUUGGCUGGUUCAACUCUGCUGCUGACCAGUCUGGAGGAGCUCACUGAAGAACAGCUGAAGACAUUAAAGUUUUACCUGACUACGUUCCAGCUGCCUGACUGUCCUCCCAUCCCAGAGAGCCAGCUGGAGAACACUGACAGACAGGUCAAAGUGGAUCAGAUGGUGAAGAGAUACAGCCCUGAGGGAGCUGUGGGGAUCACAGUGGAGAUCCUGAGAGAAAUGAAUCAGCAUGUUCUGGCAGUGAAGUUAGAGGUCCACCUCUGUAGGUGGUAACACAGCAAGACGAUCGGUUCCAUGAUGGUAUAGUUAAGCAUUAAGGCCAAAGGAGGUGUUGUUUAUGGCCAAUAUACCACAGCUAAGGACUGUUCAUAUGCACGAUGCAACUCGGAGUGCCUGGAUACAGCCCUUGGCAAUAUAUUGGCAGUAUACCACAAACCCCCGAGGUGUCUUAUUGCUAUUAUAAACUGGUUACCAAUGUAAUUAGAGCAGUAAAAAUAAAUGUUUUGUCAUACCCAUGGUAUACGGUCUCAUAUACCACAGCUGUCAGCCAAUCGGCAUUCAGGGCUCGAACCACCCAGUUUAUAAUGAGAGAGAGAGAGAUUAUAUUCACACAAAGAUCACCCAUCUUGAUGACUGUUUCUGAACUGAAGAUGUCAAGUAGAAUUUGACAGAUGACACAUGAUCCUGUAUAAAUCCUGUAUAAAUCAUACUUCCAUACAUCUGUAAUAAUACUUCUGAUCAUGUCCACCGGUUCCAGAGCUGUCUAAGAGAGAGAGAGAGAGAGAGAGAAAGAUAUGAACACGAACAGAGAGAGCAAGCCAUAGCCAGGGAGAGGAAAGAAGAGCCAGAACCAAGAGUCUAACCUUAAAAAGCGAUUAGCACCGUAUAAUAAGCCAGGGCUGAGGGAGAUUCAAUUAGGUUGGGAGGAGGAUCAGUGUCCUCUCAUAGAGCUUCCUAAUCCUAGGGCCGGCGAAGCUGAUCAAUCAGAUACCUUACAAGUGUAUCGACCCUGGACUCAGAGAGAUGUAGCAAGAGCAGUUGAGGGAAUGGUACAUCCAAAAACAGGAAUAGAAGGGUUUAGAAGAGAUAUGGAGGGACUGACCGAGAGUUUUAAACUAAAUACAGGAGAAUUGGAAAGGGCUGUCCAACAGAUAGUGGGGAAAGACUGGGCAGCAGUGAGGGGAGCCUGGGUUCCAGGGCAAGGAGGAGAACCAGUUUAACCAUAUGCAGGAGAUGGGGAUUAUGCAGACAAAUUGACACAGCUCUGUAAUAAUCUUAGGGACUAUUACCAUAGACAUGCGGACUUUUCAAAGAUACAUGAGUGUAAACAAGGGGAUGGGGAAACUGUUAGCCAGUAUUUAGAGAGACUGAGAGACGUGUUCAAUGCUAACAGUGGACUGGUAGAUCCUAGACAGGGAGACAACGGACCUUACCACCAACAGUUAAAAAUAGCCUUCUUGAGUGGUAUGAAGCCUGAAAUUUGCCAGAUCAUAAAAAAGACUCUGAUAGGGUGGGGAACAGCCACAUUGGCCGAAGUAAAGAGGUAUGCUAUACACCAUGAGCAUAAUGGCAAGGAAAAGAAAAGUAAGAAAGAACAGACAGGAGCAGAAUAUUUGAUCGCCACUCUUGGGGAAAUUGCAGGAAAGAGCAGGAAAGAUUUUAAAAAGAAAGGGGGAAACAGGGAGAGUAGAAAGUGGAUAGAACCCCAGGACAGAAAGUGCUACAACUGCAAUAAAACAGGCCACAUGCCAGAGGAUUGUUAGGCCCCACCAAGUAACAGUAGACAAAGAUGAGGGGAAUGACAGUGAGGAUUCAGAGGACACAGACUGUGAGGUGUUGAAUUGGCAACCAUUGACCUAGCAUUACAACAGGAACAGAAACCAUAUUUGAUAUUGACAGUAAUGGGAUUGUUUAGCUAACAAUAGUGAAUUUGAGCAGGAAGUUAAUGUAUUCUAACAUUAUAAUCUGUUUCCAUUACGUGGAACAAUGUCAGGUCAGUAAAGUGGAUUGCAGGUUGAGUUAAUUUUUAUUUUACAGGGACGGUGUACAUUAAUCACAGUAGUGUGUGUCUAAGUAUUCCAGAAAGGGGAAGCUCUUACACUGAAAGCAGAUUGACUAAAGGUGAUUUUCCUUAAGGGAAUUAUACAGUCAUCUCUCAUGGUGGACCUUGUGGAUCUGCGGCCGUAAGGUUUGGGUUUUCCGUCUAACAAAACUUCUGAGUGGAGGGGAAGCCUGGACAUUUAGAAUCCUGUAUACAAGACAUGCGUCAGUGUAUUGCCUAAGAUAUAUUCUUUCAAUUCAGGAGUUCAUGCUUUUUGAGAAUGUAACAGUGAUGAUGGCUAUGGGGCUUCCUAUCAAGCACUUUGAGAGACUGUUUACAGACUGAAUGGGUUUUAAUGUUGUAAAGCAAGCUUGGGCCAAACUAGUCAAGGAGUAUAUUAGGUAUGGGAGUUUCAUAGAUUUAAGGUACAGUAUUGUAUCCAAGGGUAGCUCAGGUUCAAUCACAUAACCAGUGAGGAAGUUGAAAACUAAUGAUUGGGGGGAGUACAAUGGAAUUAUAAGUAUUAUUAGGUUUUGUUUGUAGUCAACUUUUGGGUUUCUGAAUCGGUGUAGUAUAAUGAAAUGCUGACCAAGUGGUUGUCUUUUUCUGGGAAAAAGAGUGCUUCAUUGUCUCUGUGGAAUGUUUCCUAGAAGCCACGAUAUCUUAAAGGGGCAUGCACACAUGGAAUUUUAGAAGUUUUAUUUUCUGAGUUUUAAUUAAAUAUGUGAUAAGGGAAUGUUCUGGGAUCCAACAUGGA